rnacentral:rRNA from 1 species
GUAGUCUGCAACUCGACUACAUGAAGCUGGAAUCGCUAGUAAUCGCAGAUCAGAAUGCUGCGGUGAAUACGUUCCCGGGUCUUGUACACACCGCCCGUCACACCAUGGGAGUCGGAAAUGCCCGAAGCCGGUGACCCAACCAAAAGGAGGGAGCCGUCGAAGGCAGGUCUGAUAACUGGGGUGAAGUCGUAACAAGGUAGC